rnacentral:lncRNA from 1 species
UCGGAAUGGGAGAUUCAAACAUGCAAACGGAAGCAGUAGCCGACCUAACUCCAGAGGUCGAAAAUAAAUUGUCCACCGAAGAGAGAGCUGAUGAUAUAGGGUUUUGUGAUUCACAAGAAGCAGAAAGGGAUCUACAAAUUCAACCGAUAAUCGACACAGAACCUGUGAAUAUUCAAUCACCCAGCAUCCAAGAAGUAGCGGAAACUGAAGCUUUAAAUUGGGUAAACUCCCACAUCUUAGAGUUGAGCAACACCUAUGGGGUAGCUUUUGUAGGUUUUGAGAAAGAGACACUAGCUCUUCUUAUGAGAAUUGAUGAAAGAAAAGUUGUUUUAGAUAAAAAGUGUCAAGAGAAGAUGACUACAGCCCCAAAAAGUAGUGGAAUUGGAAAGAAUGAGUUAAAAAAUUUGAAAUCGAGCUUAAAUGAAGAGGUAGAAUGGGUCAGGAACAUGGGGAAAAAUUUAUCUUUGACUUAUAAAUGAAAGUCAAAUUAAUCACUUCGAAUGUGAGGAGGCUCAACUGAUGGAACAACAGAGUAAUGAUUAAAAUUUUAUUUCAGAAGUGGAAAGCUGACAUCUAUUGCUUGUAAGAAACAAAAGUUCAUACAGGAGUAGAAGAUAUAGCCAAAGAACUCUAGUCAUGCAGAUCGAUGAAAUGUGGGUAUAUGGAGGCAGAAGGUAGCAAAGGGGAAUCUUGAUCAUGUGGGAUGGUAGGAGCUAGAGGGGGGGCUCAGGUCGAGAUGGGGCAACAUUUCAUAACGUAUGAAUUUGUCUCGACUCAAAACUCUUUCACCUGGUACUUAACAGGAGUGUAUGCUCCGCACACCAGAGGAGAAAUUAAUUUGCUGGGAAGAGAUAUCUGCUAUUAAAGAAGUAUGCGGGGGACCUUGGGUGGCAUGCGGUGAUUUAAACACAAUCAGAAGUAUGGGGAAAAGAAGAGGGUGCAAUAGAAUCACUAAUGUAAUGACUGAUUUUACAAGGUGGAUUGAAGAAAUGGAACUGCAUGAUCCUCACAUGAGUGGAGGAAAAUUCACAUGGUUCAGGGGAGUCAAUCAUCCUAGUGCAACCAGACUUGACAUAUUCUUGUUCUCUAUGGAGUGGGAGGAAUGCUUUAAGAACAUUAGACAAAAGCUGAUGCCUAGAAUAUUGUCCGAUCAUUGUCCUGUCACUUUAGAAUAUGGAGAUUGGGAACAAAAAAAAAUCGAACUUUAAGUUUGAAAAUUGGUGGUUAAAAGUGGAGGGGUUUAAAGAAUUGGUGCAGUCAUGGUGGAAUGAGUUCUCUGUGGAAGGUUGUCCAGACUACAAGCUAAACGUUAAACUGAGAAUGCUCAAACAAAAGCUAAAACAUUGGAGCAGAACUACCUUUGGGGAAAUGACCAACAAAAAGAACAGUUUACUAGAGGAAUUGGCAGAAAUUGAUAUGAUAAUGGAAAGUAGAAACCUAUCUGAGGAAGAAAUAAUGGUAAGAGCUACCAUUGUAGUUGGGAAAUUAAUUUGCUGGGAAGAGAUAUCUGCUAUUAAAGAAGUAUGCGGGGGACCUUGGGUGGCAUGCGGUGAUUUAAACACAAUCAGAAGUAUGGGGAAAAGAAGAGGGUGCAAUAGAAUCACUAAUGUAAUGACUGAUUUUACAAGGUGGAUUGAAGAAACGGAACUGCAUGAUCCUCACAUGAGUGGAGGAAAAUUCACAUGGUUCAGGGGCGUCAAUCAUCCUAGUGCAACCAGACUUGACAUAUUCUUGUUCUCUAUGGAGUGGGAGGAAUGCUUUAAGAACAUUAGACAAAAGCUGAUGCCUAGAAUAUUGUCCGAUCAUUGUCCUGUCACUUUAGAAUAUGGAGAUUGGGAACAAAAAAAAAUCGAACUUUAAGUUUGAAAAUUGGUGGUUAAAAGUGGAGGGGUUUAAAGAAUUGGUGCAGUCAUGGUGGAAUGAGUUCUCUGUGGAAGGUUGUCCAGACUACAAGCUAAACGUUAAACUGAGAAUGCUCAAACAAAAGCUAAAACAUUGGAGCAGAACUACCUUUGGGGAAAUGACCAACAAAAAGAACAGUUUACUGGAGGAAUUGGCAGAAAUUGAUAUGAUAAUGGAAAGUAGAAAC